rnacentral:sRNA from 2 species
CAGUGAUAGAUAGAUUGACAGUAGUAGAUAGAUUGACAGCAAUAGAUAAAUUGACAGUGAUAGAUAGAUUGAUAGCAGUAGAUAGAUUAACAGUAAUAGAUUAACAGUAAUAGAUAGAUUAGCAGCAAUAGAUUAACAGUGAUAGAUUAGCAGCAAUAGAUUAGCAGUGAUAGAUAGAUUAACAGCGGUAGAUAGAUUGACAGUAAUAGAUUAGCAGUGAUAGAUUAGCAGCAAUAGAUUAGCAGUUAUAGAUAGAUUGAUAGCAGUAGAU